AGAGUUUGAUCCUGGCUCAGGAUGAACGCUGGCGGCGUGCCUAACACAUGCAAGUCGAGCGAUCUUCUUCGGAAGAGAGCGGCGGACGGGUGAGUAACGCGUGGGUAACCUGCCUCAUACACAUGGAUAACAUACCGAAAGGUAUGCUAAUACAAGAUGAUAUAAGAGAUUCGCAUGGAUUUCUUAUCAAAGCUCCGGCGGUAUGAGAUGGACCCGCGUCUGAUUAGCUAGUUGGUAAGGUAACGGCUUACCAAGGCGACGAUCAGUAGCCGACCUGAGAGGGUGAUCGGCCACAUUGGAACUGAGACACGGUCCAAACUCCUACGGGAGGCAGCAGUGGGGAAUAUUGCACAAUGGGCGAAAGCCUGAUGCAGCAACGCCGCGUGAGCGAUGAAGGCCUUCGGGUCGUAAAGCUCUGUCCUCAAGGAAGAUAAUGACGGUACUUGAGGAGGAAGCCCCGGCUAACUACGUGCCAGCAGCCGCGGUAAUACGUAGGGGGCUAGCGUUAUCCGGAUUUACUGGGCGUAAAGGGUGCGUAGGUGGUUUCUUAAGUCAGGAGUGAAAGGCUACGGCUCAACCGUAGUAAGCUCUUGAAACUGGGAAACUUGAGUGCAGGAGAGGAAAGUGGAAUUCCUAGUGUAGCGGUGAAAUGCGUAGAUAUUAGGAGGAACACCAGUAGCGAAGGCGGCUUUCUGGACUGUAACUGACACUGAGGCACGAAAGCGUGGGGAGCAAACAGGAUUAGAUACCCUGGUAGUCCACGCCGUAAACGAUGAGUACUAGGUGUCGGGGGUUACCCCCCUCGGUGCCGCAGCUAACGCAUUAAGUACUCCGCCUGGGGAGUACG
rnacentral:rRNA from 1 species